UGUGGCAAGUGAUGCAGAAGUUAAUAUUAUGCUAUACACUGAAACCUUUUGUGGACAAAAAAACUCCGCUUAUUAUCUGAUGCCACA
rfam:Zea mays cultivar B73 chromosome 9, whole genome shotgun sequence.